rnacentral:rRNA from 1 species
UGAGGAAUAUUGGGCAAUGCCCGAAAGGGUGACCCAGCAACGCCGCGUGGAGGAUGAAGGUCGUAAGAUUGUAAACUCCUGUUAGAGGGGAAGAAUAACUAAGUUUGGAGCUUAGUAUGACUGUACCCUCAGAGAAAGCCCCGGCUAACUACGUGCCAGCAGCCGCGGUAAUACGUAGGGGGCAAGCGUUGUCCGGAUUUACUGGGUGUAAAGGGCGCGCAGGCGGAAUGGAAAGUCAGUGGUGAAAUCCUACAGCUUAACUGUAGAACUGCCUUUGAUACUUUCAUUCUUGAGUUCGGGAGAGAGAGACGGAAUUCCAGGUGUAGUGGUGAAAUACGUAGAUAUCUGGAAGAACACCAGUUGCGAAGGCGGUCUCUUGGUCCGAUACUGACGCUGUGGCGCGAAAGCGUGGGGAGCAAACA